rnacentral:rRNA from 1 species
UGGGGAAUAUUGCGCAAUGGGCGGAAGCCUGACGCAGCGACGCCGCGUGAGGGAUGACGGCCUUCGGGUUGUAAACCUCUUUCAGCAGGGACUAAUGUAGACGGUACCUGUAGAAGAAGCACCGGCCAACUACGUGCCAGCAGCCGCAGUAAUACGUAGGGUGCGAGCGUUGUCCGGAAUUAUUGGGCGUAAAGAGCUCGUAGGCGGUCUGUCGCGUCGAAUGUGAAAACCCGGGGCUCAACUCCGGGCUUGCAUUCGAUACGGGCGGGCUAGAGUUCGGUAGGGUAGUCUGGAAUUCCUGGUGUAGCGGUGAAAUGCGCAGAUAUCAGGAGGAACACCGGUGGCGAAGGCGGGACUCUGGGCCGAUACUGACGCUGAGGAGCGAAAGCGUGGGGGGCGAACA